rnacentral:rRNA from 1 species
AUCAGUGGUAGGCAUGUAAUAAACCAAUAAGAUUGGGUUGAGCCUGGUCAGUUCCUGGAUGGGAGACCUCCUGGGAAAACUAGGUUGCUGCUGGAA